AAAAAACUAAACACGGCCCUCACAGGGACGGGCACACUGUCCACUUGUAGCUGCGCCCUAUGGCUUGUAGUGUGCUGAGCAACCGUGAGUCAAAGAAAUGACUGCUGUGACCACUUCACUCAUAAACAUCUAAACCAUCGCAAGUUCAUGAGUGGUGGCUUGCCAACCCCUAUCCUUUCUCCAUCGUUGACUAAUGGACUUCUUGGAGAACUGGCUAUUUGGCUAUCUGACUUUGGCCCGUUUGCUCUGUGUGCAUUAAUGUUCCGCACAGCUGGGAUUUUGAGCUGUUGCCAGUUGGUGGAAUCUCAGUAAAAUCUGUGGAUUAGAUGAAACUACCAUGUUAAUUUCCUGUGCUGCGGUGUAGAAUUCCACUCAGUUUAGGAAAUGCAAACUCAAGGA